rnacentral:rRNA from 1 species
GUCUUAUAGAAUAUAAUUUUAAGUCAAUCUGCCCAAUGAUUUAAAUUAAAUGGCUGCAGUAUAAUUAACUGUACAAAGGUAGCAUAAUCAAUUGUUUUUUAAUUAAAAACUAGAAUGAAAGAAUUAAUGAGAUAUAUACUGUCUCAUAUAUAUAAAAUAAACUUAAAUUUUUAGUAAAAAUGCUUAAAUUUUUUUAUGGGACGAUAAGACCCUAUAGAAUUUAAUAUUAAUAUUUAAUUAAUUAUUUAAUUAUAAUAUUAAUAUUUAAUUGGGAGGAUUAAUAAAUUCAAUAAACUUUAUUUUUAAAAUAAACUUUAAUUUUAGAAUAUAUUUUGAUCUUUUAUUAAAAAUUAAAAAAAUAAAUUACCUUAGGGAUAACAGCGUAAUAUCUCUUUAAAGACCAUAUUAAUAAAGAUGUUUGCGACCUCGAUGUUGAAUUAAGAUAAAUUUUAGAUGAAGAGAUCUAAAUAUUAAGUCUGUUCGACUUUUAAAAUCUUACAUGAUUUGAGUUCAAAUCGACGUAAGU